rnacentral:rRNA from 1 species
GAUGAACGCUAGCGGCAGGCCUAAUACAUCCAAGUCGAACGGGUGGUCGCAAGACCACUAGUGGCGCACGGGUGCGUAACGCGUAACCAACCUGCCCCGAUCUGGGGGAUAGCCCGCCGAAAGGCGGAUUAAUACCGCAUAUACCCGCAGCCUGGCAUCAGGCAACGGGGAAAGAUUUAUUGGAUCGGGAUGGGGUUGCGUGACAUUAGCUAGUUGGCGGGGUAAGGGCCCACCAAGGCGACGAUGUCUAGGGGACCUGAGAGGGUGAUCCCCCACACUGGCACUGAGAUACGGGCCAGACUCCUACGGGAGGCAGCAGUAGGGAAUAUUGGGCAAUGGGCGAGAGCCUGACCCAGCCAUGCCGCGUCCCGGAUGAAGGCCUUCUGGGUUGUAAACGGCUUUUCUCAGGGAAGAAAAGGACCUUGCGAGGUACACUGACGGUACCUGAGGAAUAAGCACCGGCUAACUCCGUG